AUUGAACGCUGGCGGCAGGCUUUACACAUGCAAGUCGGACGAGUGGCGGACGGGUGAGUAAUAUAUCGGAACGUGCCGAAUAAUGGGGGAUAACUAAUCGAAAGAUUAGCUAAUACCGCAUAUUAUUCGAGCGGCCGAUAUCGGAUUAGCUAGUUGGUGGGGUAAAGGCUUACCAAGGCGACGAUCCGUAGCUGGUCUGAGAGGAUGAUCCGCCACACUGGGACUGAGACACGGCCCAGACUCCUACGGGAGGCAGCAGUGGGGAAUUUUGGACAAUGGGCGCAAGCCUGAUCCAGCCAUGCCGCGUGUCUGAAGAAGGCCUUCGGGUUGUAAAGGACUUUUGUCAGGGAAGCGUUACCUGAAGAAUAAGCACCGGCUAACUACGUGCCAGCAGCCGCGGUAAUAC
rnacentral:rRNA from 1 species